GAUGAACGCUGACAGAAUGCUUAACACAUGCAAGUCUUUGGCGAAGCUGUGCUUGCACAGCCUAGCCAAGGCGGACGGGUGAGUAACGCGUAAGGAACUUGCCCUGCAGUCAGGGAUAACAGACGGAAACGACUGAUAAGACCUGGUAAAGUCAGGCGGACUCAUGUCCAGCCUGAUGAAAAGAGAUGCUGCAGGAGAGCCUUGCGUCCUAUUAGCUUGUUGGUGGGGUAACGGCCCACCAAGGCGAUGAUAGGUAGCCGGCCUGAGAGGGUGGACGGCCACAAGGGGACUGAGAUCCGGCCCUUACUCCUACGGGAGGCAGCAGUGGGGAAUAUUGGACAAUGGGGGCAACCCUGAUCCAGCACUUCUGUGUGCACGAUGAAGGUUUUCGGAUUGUAAAGUGCUUUCAGCAGGGAAGAAAAAAAUGACGGUACCUGCAGAAGAAGCGACGGCUAAAUACGUG
rnacentral:rRNA from 1 species